UACGUAGGGACCAAGCGUUGUUCGGAUUUACUGGGCGUAAAGGGCGCGUAGGCGGCGUGUUAAGUCAGCUGUGAAAUCUCCAAGCUUAACUUGGAACGGUCAGCUGAUACUGAUGUGCUAGAGUGCAGAAGGGGCAACUGGAAUUCUUGGUGUAGCGGUGAAAUGCGUAGAUAUCAAGAGGAACACCUGCGGCGAAGGCGGGUUGCUGGGCCGACACUGACGCUGAGGCGCGAAAGCCAGGGGAGCGAACGGG
rnacentral:rRNA from 1 species